GACGAACGCUGGCGGCGUGCUUAACACAUGCAAGUCGAACGGUAAGGCCCUUCGGGUACACGAGUGGCGAACGGGUGAGUAACACGUGGUGAUCUGCCCUGCACUUCGGGAUAAGCCUGGGAAACUGGGUCUAAUACCGGAUAGGACCAUGGACUUCACGGUUUGUGGUGGAAAGCUUUUGCGGUGUGGGAUGGGCCCGCGGCCUAUCAGCUUGUUGGUGGGGUAAUGGCCUACCAAGGCGACGACGGGUAGCCGGCCUGAGAGGGUGUCCGGCCACACUGGGACUGAGAUACGGCCCAGACUCCUACGGGAGGCAGCAGUGGGAAUAUUGCACAAUGGGCGCAAGCCUGAUGCAGCGACGCCGCGUGAGGGAUGACGGCCUUC
rnacentral:rRNA from 1 species